GGCUCAGGAUGAACGCUAGCGGCAGGCCUAACACAUGCAAGUCGAGGGGCAGCAUAAACAAGCUUGCUUGUUUGGUGGCGACCGGCGCACGGGUGCGUAACGCGUAUGCAACCUACCCUGUACUGGGGGAUAGCCCGGAGAAAUUCGGAUUAAGACCCCAUAGCACUUAAGAAUGGCAUCAUUCAUAAGUUAAAGGUUACGGUACAGGAUGGGCAUGCGUCCCAUUAGCUAGAUGGUAAGGUAACGGCUUACCAUGGCAACGAUGGGUAGGGGGCCUGAGAGGGUGGUCCCCCACACUGGUACUGAGACACGGACCAGACUCCUACGGGAGGCAGCAGUGAGGAAUAUUGGACAAUGGGCGCAAGCCUGAUCCAGCCAUGCCGCGUGCAGGAUGACGGUCCUAUGGAUUGUAAACUGCUUUUGUACAGGAAGAAACACUCCCUCGUGAGGGAGCUUGACGGUACUGUAAGAAUAAGGAUCGGCUAACUCCGUG
rnacentral:rRNA from 1 species